GAACUUAAGCAUAUCAAUAAGCGGAGGAAAAGAAACUAACAAGGAUUCCCCUAGUAACUGCGAGUGAAGCGGGAAGAGCUCAAAUUUAAAAUCUGGCAGCUGAUGGGCUUGUCCGAGUUGUAAUCUAGAGAAGUGUCUUCCGCGCUGGGACCGUGUACAAGUCUCUUGGAAUGGAGCAUCAUAGAGGGUGAGAAUCCCGUCUCUGACACGGAAUUUACCGGUGCUUUUGUGAUGCGCUCUCGAAGAGUCGAGUUGUUUGGGAAUGCAGCUCAAAAUGGGUGGUAAAUUCCAUCUAAAGCUAAAUACAGGCGAGAGACCGAUAGCGAACAAGUACCGUGAGGGAAAGAUGAAAAGGACUUUGAAAAGAGAGUUAAACAUUACGUGAAAUUGUUGAAAGGGAAACGAUUCAAGUCAGUCGCAUUAGCCAGUAAUCAACCCUCGCAAUUAACCUUGCUGGGCUUACUUUCUGGUUGAUGGGUCAGCAUCAAUUUUGACCGUCAGAGAAAGGCUUUGCGGGGAAUGUGACAUCUUCGGAUGUGUUAUAGCCCCAACUCGCAUGUGAUGGUCGGGAUUGAGGAACUCAGCACGCCUUUACAGGUCAGGGCCGCCAGAAUGGCCCAUGUAAACGUAGCUUAGGAUGCUGGCAUAAUGGCUUGAACCGACCCGUCUUGAAACACGGACCAAGGAGUCUAACAUGCCUGCGAGUGUUUGGGUGGAAAACCCGAGCGCGAAGUGAAAGUGAACUUGGUUGAGAUCCCUGUCGUGGGGAGCAUCGACGCCCGGACCAGACCUUCUGUGACGGAUCUGCGGUAGAGCAUGCAUGUUGGGACCCGAAA
rnacentral:rRNA from 1 species